AGAAUAGGAGCUCAGUCAAUCAGUGGACUGCCUGGGACCAGUGAGUUGUUAACUGCGCGAGCACGUUUGGCGCUCCUUCUUUUUCUUCUGUAAUGAAUACGCUAUUGUCCGGUUGGAAUAUUAUUGACGUUUUCUGUUAAAAAGACCCUAAGGAUUGAUUGUAUACAUUUUUUGACAUUUCUACGAACGGCCCCCCACCACACCCCUUUCUCAGCAGAGUGGCAGGAGAACCAUGGGCAGUUUCAGAAGAUUCUGGUUAUGCACUGUCUUAGACCAGACAAGGUCAUUCCCAUUGUGUAGCAGUUUGUAUCAGACAGUUUGGGGCGUCAGUUCAUCAAGGUGACAGUCACUGCUGAGCCCCUUCAUCUUCGUCCUUUCCCCCGGCUCUGACCCCUUGGCCGCCUUACUCAAGUUUGGUGAUGAGCAGGACUUCAGUGCAAACAAGUUGAGCUCUCUGUCUCUGGGCCAGGGCCCCAUCACCAUGAGCUUGAUUGAAACGGACAUGAAGGAGGGUACCUGGGUGGUCCUAUAGCACUGUCACCUGGCCACCUCAUGGUUGUCCAUUAUGGAGAGAGUGUGUGAGGGGACUAACCCAUACACCACCCAGACUCCCGUCUGUGGCUAACCAGCUACACCUUGCCCACCUUCCCGUGGCAGUGUUUCAGAACGGGGUGAAGAUGACCAAUGAGCCUCUGCACCCACAUUGCCCACGCCUUCCUCAUCUCCGACCCUGAGUUCUUCUACAGCAGCAGCAAGCCGGUUGUGUUGAAGAGGCUGCUGUAUGGCCUGUGCUUCUUCCACGCAUUGAUCUAGGAGAGGAAGAAGUUUGUUGCCAUGGGCUGGAACAUCGCAUAUGAGUUCAACGAGUCCGACCUAAUGAUCUUCGUCCAGCACCUCCAUAUGUUCCUGGAGCAGUAAGAGAAAGUGCCGUUUGAAGCCAUCCACUACAUGACAGGUGAAUGUAACUACGGUGGAUGCGUGACGGACGAUGUGGGCCGGCGGACACUGCACACCAUCCUGACGAUCUUCUACACCCCCAAGAUUCAAGACCCUGAAUACAAGUUUGACCCCAGCAGCAUGUACUAUUCACCAACAUAGGGCGAUUAUAACAGUUACAUAAACUACAUUACACCAAGGUUUUGCCUCUGAAUCCGUCUCCUGAGAUAUGAACGCCAACACUGACGUCACCAGCUGCUUUUUGAUAACAGCCUGCUCACACAGGUAUGGCCGGCACAAUCUUUAAAAAUACACACCAUACACCGCAAUUAUAGUGCCUUUACUGAAACACACACACACACAUAUUUAUCAUAGUCAUGCAAAGAUAUGGAAUACAUACAUUACACCCUCCUGCUCAACGUACAAAGUGAGCUCACCUUCAACUUUUUGGCACAGUGAAUCCCAGUUUUCAGAAGUAUAAUGAUUGUUGUCAUAAUCUGCCAUGUCCUCAUAUGGGAUUCUCAUGGCGGUGUUAUGUGCCAUGCACUCUGACGGCCAUUUUCAAAUGACAGUAAUGGGGAAAGUGGGGUAAGUUUUGCCAAAAUGGUAAGUUGUGCCCCGUUGUUUCGAGGAAACCAUACACAAAAUGUAUCAUUUGACCAAAUAUUUAGGAAGAGGUCAAAUCAUUUAAUUUAAGUCUGCGAAGGAAUAAACCACAUGGAAAAAGUGGUAAGCAAGUUAGGUAAAAAGCAAGUAAAUUAAUUUAUUGUGUUAGAGGUUUCAAAAUGCUUGUAUCUAAACCAAAGUAGAUAAUUUAACCUGUUGUGGCUAGGGGGCAGUAUUUGCACGGCCGGAUAAAAACGUACCCGAUUUAAACUGGUUACUACUCUUGCCCAGAAAUGAGAAUAUGCAUAUAAUUAGUAGAUUUGGAUAGAAAACACUCUAAAGUUUCUAAAACUGUUUGAAUGGUGUCUGUGAGUAUAACAGAACUCAUAUGGCAGGCCAAAACCUGAGAAGAUUCCAUACAGGAAGUGCCCUGUCUGACAAUUUGUUCUCCUUCUGUGGCAUCUCUAUCAAAAAUACAGCAUCUCUGCUGUAACGUGACAUUUUCUAAGGCUUCCAUUGGCUCUCAGAAGGUGCCAGAAAGUGGAAUGACGUCUCUGCAGUCUCUGGGCGAAAAACAGCAGGAGUUUUUGUGAGUGGUCAAGCAGGGAACAAUGACACUGGAGUGCGCAUCCACGAGAGGACUCCAUGUUUCUCUUUCAAUCUUUGAACGAACACAACGUCGCCCGGUUGGAAUAUUAUUGCUAUUUUACGAGAAAAAUCGCAUAAAAAUUGAUUUUAAACAGCGUUUGACAUGCUUCGAAGUACGGUAAUGGAAUAUUUUGAAAUUUUUGGUCACGAAACGCGCUCGCGCGUCACCCUUCGGAUAGUUACCUGAAGGCACGAACAAAACGGAGGUAUUUUGAUAUAACUAUGGAUUAUUUCGAACCAUAACAACAUUUGUUGUUGAAGUAGAAGUCCUGGGAGUGCAUUCUGAUGAAGAACAGCAAAGGUAAUCCAAUUUUUCUUAUAGUAAAUCUGAGUUUGGUGAGGGCCACACUUGGUGGGUGUAAAAUUACCUAGUCGUGAUGGCCUGGCUAUGUACUCAGAAUAUUGCAAAAUGUGCCUACCCCAAAAGGUAGUUUUGUGCCUACCCCAAAAAAGGGGUGCAUAGGCAUAAUUUUUAUAUACACAUCAUAUAUAUAUAUACUACGGUCAAAUGUUUGGGGUCACUUAGAAAUGUCCUCGUUUUUUAAAGGAAAGCUUAUUUAUUGUCCAGAAAACCCUUUUGCAAUUAUGUUAGCACAGCUGAAAACAAAAUCUAAGUAUGAGGUGUUCGGAUCACAAAGAAGAACAUCCGUGAGAUGUAGAAAACAUUUUAAGAUGCUGGAGGAGUGCUUGACGCGAUCUGUCAAGCAUGGGGGAGGCAAUGUGAUGGUCUGGGGGUGCUUUGGUGGUGAUAAAGUGGGUGAUUUGUAGAGGGUAAAAGGGAUAUUGAAGAAGGAAGGCUAUCACUCCAUUUUGCAACGCCAUGCCAUACCCUGUGGACGGCGCUUAAUUGGAGCCAAUUUCCGCCUACAACCGGACAAUGACCCAAAGCACAGCUCCAAACUAUGCAAUAACUAUUUAGGGAAGAAGCAGUCAGCUGGUAUCCUGUCUAUAAUGGAGUUGCCAGCACAGUCACCAGAUCUCAACCCUAUUGACCUGCUGUGGGAGCAGCUUGACCGUAUGGUACGUAAGAAGUGCCCAUCAAACCAAUCCAACGUGGGAGGUGCUUCAGGAAGCAUGGGGUGAAAUCUCUUCAAAUUUCCUCAACAAAUUGACAACUAGAAUGCCUAAGGUCUGCAAGGCUGUAAUUGCUGCAAAUGGAGGAUUAUUUAACGAAAGCAAAGUUUGAAGGACACAAUUAUUAUUUAUAACAAAAAUCAAAUCAAAUGUAUUUGUCACAUACACAUGGUUAGCAGAUGUUAAUGCGAGUGUAGCGAAAUGCUUGUGCUCCUAGUUCCGACCAUGCAGUAAUAUCUAACAAGUAAUCUAACCUAACAAUUUCACAACAACUACCUUAUACACACAAGUGUAAAGGAAUGAAUAAGAAUAUGUACAUAAAAAUAUAUGAAUGAGCGAUGGCCGAACGGCAUAGGCAAGAUGCAGUAGAUGGUAUACAGUAGUACAGUAUAUACAUAUGAGAUGAGUAAUGUAGGGAAUGUAAACAUUAUGUAAAGCGGCAUUGUCUAAAGUGUCUAGUGAUACAUUUAUUACAUAAAUGUUUUCAUUGUUAACCUCUUCGAGUUCGCCUAGGAUAGGGGGCGCUACAGCGCGUUUUGGAAAAAAAUCGUGCCCAUUUUCAACGGCCUCCUACUCAAACUCAGAAGCUAGGAUAUGCAUGUAAUUAAUAUAUGUGGAUAGAAAAAACCCUAAAGUUUCUAAAACUGUUUGAAUGGUGUCUGUGAGUAUAACAGAACUCUUAUGGCAGUCAAAACCCCGAGACCGAUCGUAACAGGAUGUGGAAUUCUGAAUUGCGGACUCAACUUCAGCGCUGUGCCUAUAACUCACACUGUGAGCAAUGGUUCAUUGAGCACUUCCUAUUGCUUCCACUAGAUGUCCCCAGUCUUUACAAAGUGGUUUGGGUCUCCUACUGUGAAAACUGGCUGAAAGAGAGGCUAUGGAAUGCAGUGACAUGGGGAGGGCCAUCACCAUUAUGAAGCCGGCGCCCCUGCCAACCCCCACAUUUCGAAACGUUUUGAAAGACAAUGAAAUCUUGAAUGUUACAGGAUCUGUGGUUGUAAAAGGCCCGAGAGAUUUAUGUUAUACAACGUUUGACAUGUUUGAACGAACCUAAAUGUAAAAAAAAUCAAUUUUGGUAAGAGAGGUUUCGCGCUCACGAUGGAAGUUUUGGAGCAGCCUUCAGGACGCCCUAACCAGAAAAAGCUAUUGGGACAUAAAGGAAUAACGUUUUUGAACGAAAAUACAUUUCUUGUGGACCUGGGAUUCCUGGAAGUGCAUUCUGAUGAAGAUAAUCAAAGUUUCGCUCCUCAGGUGUUGACGCCAAGUUGUCAGAUGACAUGGUGUACAAUGUGAUAGUGGACGUCCUCAGCAACCUGACACUGGUAGCGCAGCAGAUGAGGGCCUGGUAGUGAUGUCUGCUGAGCUGGAGGAGGUGGUGAACAGCAUUCUGAAAGGCAGUGCCCCUGGCAUGUGGAAGAAGAAGUCCUACCACAGCCUCAAACCCCUGAGCAGCUACGUCAAUGACUUCCUAGAUAGGCUCAAGUUCCUACAGGAACAUGCUCCGGG
rnacentral:lncRNA from 1 species